rnacentral:lncRNA from 1 species
GGCAUGUGUAUUUCAUCUAAACAAAAAUAAUGCUGACAUAAAGACUAACAAAUUAAAUCUUGUUCUCUUGAGUGAUGUUGCAAGAAUAACUUCUACCAUCUUGUCAAUAUACAUUAAUUCUAUGCAAAUGGUCAAAAAUUGUCUCUUGAUCAUCUGCACAGAUGAGAUGUUGCAUUUUGUUAAGUUUGAUCAUGUCACAAUGUGUCGUUUAUCUAUGAAGUGCAUGGUAUUGUUUCAAGAGGCUGAAGAUCGGCACAUAACACGUAUGGCUGUUGCAAUACUCUCUAUUCUAGCUUGCAAGAUACCUUCAGUUGAAAUAUCAAAUUUAAUUCAAGAACAGGAAAU